UACGUAGGGUCCGAGCGUUGUCCGGAAUUACUGGGCGUAAAGCGCUUGUAGGCGGUUCGUCGCGUCGGUUGUGAAAACUUGGGGCUCAACCUUAAGCUUGCAGGCGAUACGGGCGGACUAGAGUACUUCAGGGGAGACUGGAAUUCCUGGUGUAGCGGUGAAAUGCGCAGAUAUCAGGAGGAACACCGGUGGCGAAGGCGGGUCUCUGGGAAGUAACUGACGCUGAGAAGCGAAAGCAUGGGUAGCAAACAGG
rnacentral:rRNA from 1 species